rnacentral:rRNA from 1 species
CCUACGGGAGGCAGCAGUGGGGAAUAUUGGGCAAUGGGCGCAAGCCUGACCCAGCAACGCCGCGUGAAGGAAGAAGGCUUUCGGGUUGUAAACUUCUUUUCUCAGGGACGAAGAAAGUGACGGUACCUGAUGAUUAAGCCACGGCUAACUACGUGCCAGCAGCCGCGGCAAUACGUAGGUGGCAAGCGUUAUCCGGAUUUAUUGGGUGUAAAGGGCGUGUAGGCGGGAGGGCAAGUCAGAUGUGAAAUUUUAGGGCUCAACCCUGAGACUGCAUUUGAAACUGUGUGUCUUGAGUGCUGGAGAGGCAAUCGGAAUUCCGUGUGUAGCGGUGAAAUGCGUAGAUAUACCGAGGAACACCAGUGGCGAAGGCAGAUUGCUAAACAGUAACUGACACUGAGGCGCGAAAGCGUGGGGAGCAAACAGGAUUAGAUACCCUUGUAGUC